rnacentral:rRNA from 1 species
AAUAUUGGUCAAUGGGCGCAAGCCUGAACCAGCCAUGCCGCGUGCAGGAAGACGGCCCUAUGGGUUGUAAACUGCUUUUGUACCGGAAUAAACCUUCUCUUGCGAGAGAAGCUGAACGUACGGUAAGAAUAAGGAUCGGCUAACUCCGUGCCAGCAGCCGCGGUAAUACGGAGGAUCCAAGCGUUAUCCGGAUUUAUUGGGUUUAAAGGGUGCGUAGGCGGCUUUUUAAGUCAGGGGUGAAAACUUGCGGCUCAACCGUAAGCUUGCCUUUGAUACUGAAGAGCUUGAAUACACUUGAGGUAGGCGGAAUGUGACAAGUAGCGGUGAAAUGCAUAGAUAUGUCACAGAACACCAAUUGCGAAGGCAGCUUACUAAAGUGUGAUUGACGCUGAGGCACGAAAGCGUGGGGAUCAAACAGG